AAUAAGUACUAGCCUUGCCAAACUUCUGAAUUGCCAUUCUCAUGGCGGGUUGUCUUGAAAUGAAUGUUCCGCUAUUAUCUGUGGUUCAACCCUGGACAGUGUGGACAGCCAGGCCCGAUUCGAUUGUAAGAAACUAGUCGAUGGUACAGCGCAAUGGAGGCAUGAGCGAAACAACAAAUAUGUUGACAAUCCAGCUGGUUUUGGUGUAAAUCUAAGGAAUUAUUUACUUUGACACUAUCUCCCUGCUCUCAAUGAAAGCUUGUUUUGUUUUUUGGAACUAAGACUACUAGAUUAUUAUUUUUUGUAACUAAGUUACAGCUCAUGAUCUUAUAUGCACAACAUGUUGGACCCAAGCCCAAGAUACAACACAAAUGCAUCUACUUCAAAUCUUAGCAGAAAAUGUGUGCUUUGCAGUAGAACACUAGAGCCUAGAACACGUUCACAUCAGCUCAUGUCCCUGAGAACUAACACUCAACAUCAUAUUAACAUCAGGAACAUAAUUGUGGAACGACUAACUCCAUUAGAGGUUACUGCAAAUGACUACAUCUGUGGGGCUUGUCACUCAUUAUUGCAAAGAGAUACCACACCUACUUCACAAGACUCUCCAGAUAUGCCAACCGGUGCCCCGGUAGGUCACCAACAAGUUUGUGUUGGAUGUGGUUGUUCAUUAUUGCGAACUUGAAGUCAUUGUUUGGAUACAGAGAAUAAUCAAGAUAUAUUAAACAUUGUUCGAAAUUGGAUUCAACCCAGAGAGAUUCGUCCUUCAGAUCUUCUUUGCCAUAGAUACUAUCAGAGAGCACGAAUUACUACAGUUGGUGCUUAUUUAAUGAAGCUGAGGACCGGUGAUUCAGAUGACAGAAUAGCUACAUUACUUGGCAUUUCAAGGAGUACUCUUACAAAAUAUGUAAUGAAAGCACGCAGUAUGAUGGAGGAACAUUUCGUACCAGCACAUUUAGGGUUACAACAUAUUAGUAGAGAGGAAGUAGCCCAAAGAAACCUUUAUGUUCCAGUCUCUUUUCGGGAAGCCAGGAAACGAUUUACCACAAAGAAAGGCUAUUGUCAUCAUGGAUGGUACAUACAUACAUUUAUGUGCAAAAAAGUAGCAAUUAUGCAUACCAAAAAAAAAACUCAUUCCCUAUACAAAUAUCGGAAUCUCGUUAAACCAUUUAUGGUACUUUGUUGUGAUGGCGACAUCAUUGAUGUAUUGGGCCCAUAUUUAAUAGAAAAUGUAGAACAUGACCAUUAAUAAAUAAUAAGUACCUA